rnacentral:rRNA from 1 species
GAUGAACGCUGGCGGCGUGCCUAAUACAUGCAAGUCGAGCGAAUGGAUUAAGAGCUUGCUCUUAUGAAGUUAGCGGCGGACGGGUGAGUAACACGUGGGUAACCUGCCCAUAAGACGGGGAUAACUCCGGGAAACCGGGGCUAAUCACGGAUAAUAUUUUGAACUGCCUGGUUCAAAAUUGAAAGGCGGCUUCGGCUGUCAAUUAUGUAUGGACCGGCGUCGCAUUAGCUAGUUGGUGAGGUAACGGCUCACAAAGGCAACGAUGCGUAGCCGACCUGAGAGGGUGAUCGGCCACACUGGGACUGAGACACGGCCCAGACUCCUACGGGAGGCAGCAGUAGGGAAUCUUCCGCAAUGGACGAAAGUCUGACGGAGCAACGCCGCGUGAGUGAUGAAGGCUUUCGGGUCGUAAAACUCUGUUGUUAGGGAAGAACAAGUGCUAGUUGAAUAAGCUGGCACCUUGACGGUACCUAACCAGAAAGCCACGGCUAACUACGUGCCAGCCGCCGCAGUAA